UGGGGGGGAAGAGAAAUCAAACGAGGAGCGGAAAAGUUGCCUCUGGUUCCUUCCUUCCUUCCUCUCUUCCUUCCUUCCUUCCUCUCUUUCUUUCUUUCUUUCUUCCUUCCUUCCUUCCUCUCUUUCUUCCUUCCUCUUCCUUCCUUCCUUCCUCCCUUCCUUCCUUCCUCUCUUUCUUUCUUCCUUCCUUCCACUCUUCCUUCCUUCCUUCCUUCCUCCCUUCCUUCCUUCCCCUCUUCCUCCCUUCCUUCCUUCCUCUCUUUCUUCCUUCCUUCCUCUCUUUCUUCCUUCCUUCCUUCCUUCCUCUCUGUCUUCCUUCCUUCCUCUCUUUCUUCCUUCCUUCCUCCCUCCUUCCUUCCUCUCUUUCUUCCUUCCUUCCUUCCACUCUUCCUUCCUUCCUUCCUCUUUCUUUCUUCCUUCCUUCCUUCCUCUCUGUCUUCCUUCCUUCCUCUCUUUCUUCCUUCCUUCCUCCCUUCCUUCCUUCCCCCCUCUCCUUCUCCCUCUCCCUCUCCCCAACCCGCUUUCCCCACCCCCCUCCCCAGUAUUUCUCUGCGUCUGUCGCGGAUUUCUCCAGCAGCCGCCGCCUGGCCAGCUCGCCAAGCCCCUGAAAUAUGAUAAUCAGAACAGCUGCUUCUGUGUUCCCUCCGGCCAAUCAGAAGACGGCAGGUUUGACGUCCCCGCGGCCUACGCCGGCCAAUGACGAGCGAGCUGAGUUGGAGCAGAGAAGUUUGAGUAAGAGAUAAGGAAGAGGCUCGUGGUCGAGGCGCGCGGAGUUUCCACGCACUGGGCAGCGUCCUCCGAGAGCGCUCGCUCCCUCUCUCCCGCUCUCCCGCUCUCCCGCUCGCUCUCGCUUGCCUGGACCCCGCUGGCGGUUUUCCUUUCCGGACGGAGCACCUUCUCACCGUAGGAAGAAGGGCGUCCGGUCAUCCAUCCUCCCUGAGGUCGAUUCCCAGCGCGGCGGAGGCGGCGGACCAAGGAAGCAUCUCUGCCGUCCCUUGACAGCAUCUUCUUCUCCUCCUCCUUCCCCCCCCCCACUCCAAAAAAGCAGAGCCGCCGGUUUAUUUGUUUAUUUAUUUAUUAUUUUUAUUAUUAUUUUUAUUAUUAUUUUUCCAUCAUCUCGGGAAAGUUCCUGUGCAGCCGGGCACCAUUUCACGGUGGACACUGUACCCUUUGGUAGAGAUGGGCGAUAUGGGCGACCCACCGAAAAAAAAGCGGCUGAUUUCCUUGUGCGUCGGUUGCGGCAAUCAAAUCCACGACCAGUAUAUUCUGCGGGUUUCCCCGGAUUUGGAAUGGCACGCGGCGUGUUUGAAGUGCGCGGAAUGUAACCAGUAUUUGGACGAGACUUGUACGUGCUUUGUAAGGGAUGGGAAAACCUACUGUAAGCGAGACUAUAUCAGGUUAUACGGCAUCAAGUGCGCCAAAUGCAACAUUGGGUUCAGCAAGAACGACUUCGUGAUGCGCGCCCGCUCCAAAGUCUACCACAUCGAGUGCUUUCGCUGCGUGGCCUGCAGCCGCCAGCUGAUUCCUGGGGACGAGUUCGCGCUGCGAGAGGACGGCCUCUUUUGCCGAGCGGAUCACGAUGUGGUGGAAAGAGCCAGUCUCGGCGCCGGAGACGCCCUCAGCCCCUUGCACCCCGCCAGGCCGCUGCAGAUGGCAGCAGAACCUAUCUCCGCCAGGCAGCCGGCUCUCCGGCCCCACGUCCAUAAGCAGCCAGAAAAAACGACCCGCGUCCGGACCGUCCUCAACGAAAAGCAGCUCCACACUUUGAGGACCUGCUACGCGGCCAAUCCCCGGCCUGACGCCCUCAUGAAGGAGCAGCUGGUGGAAAUGACCGGUCUCAGCCCCAGAGUGAUCCGGGUCUGGUUUCAAAAUAAGCGUUGCAAGGACAAAAAAAGGAGCAUCAUGAUGAAGCAGCUGCAGCAGCAGCAGCCCAACGACAAGACGAACAUCCAGGGGAUGACGGGCACUCCCAUGGUGGCAGCCAGUCCGGAGAGACACGACGGCGGCUUGCAGGCAAACCCGGUGGAGGUGCAGAGUUACCAGCCGCCCUGGAAAGUCCUCAGCGAUUUCGCCUUGCAGAGUGACAUAGAUCAACCGGCUUUUCAACAACUCCCUCCCUGGCUAUUACUGCUUCCUGAUCUGAAAAAACUGCAUGGGUGGCAUGACAAAUCCUACAGAAAUCCGUUGGGUUUUAAUUGAAGUGAGCAAUGUCAGCAAGGCAGCAGGUCAUGAAGAGAGUGUUGCACAAUCAUAGAGAGAAACUCUUGAACACAUCGGACCUCUUGUAAAUAAGACACUUGAAGUUAUAACAACAGAGAUAAAAGUGACUUAUGACCAGUGCUUGCACUUAUGACCAGGGUCAUGUGAUAAAAGUUCAGAUACUUGGCAACUGGCAUGUAUUUAUCAUGGCUGCUGUAUCCUGGGGUCAUAUGAUCUUCGUUUGCGACCUUCCCAGCCAGUUUCCAACAAGCAAAGUCAAUGAGGAAAUGGAUUUGCUUAAUGACCGCAGGAUUCCCUUAACCGCAGUGAUUCCCUCAACAGCCUAUCAGCUAAGGACACUGCAAAAUUCCGUGCUACGAUUCGAAAGGAAACUGAUAACUGCAAACUCAUCAACAUUACCAUCAUGAUCAUCACACCAUCUUACAACAUUACUUGGAUAAUUCCUGGAUUCCUGGCUGGGACUCGAAUUUCCAAAGAAGCCAGUCAGAGAUAUGAUUAAUUUGGUUUGUUCUUGCCCUGUAUCACUCCUUGAAGAAUAAAAACUGAUCACAAUCAUGUAAUCAAAUAAAAAUUAAAGAAACAGCAGCAGCAAUUUGAGGACAUGAUAAUAUGAGUUGUUUAAUCCUGGUUCAACAUCAACAUUUGUUUUGUUCCAUCCUGUCUGCUAUGGCAUCUUUGUGGUGUUACAGGGGACAUUCUGAAUGAGAGCGGUACGCAUUCAAAUGCAGAAUAACAGAGUUGGAAUGCAACCAUUCUUCUGUUCUUUGUAUGUUUUAUAUUCCAGCCCCCUAAAUCAACUUAGUUGCUCUUCUCUGUACUCUUUCUUAACAUCUUUUUAAUAUUGUGUCUGCCAAAACUGGAUGCAAUAUUCCAAGUGUGGUCUUACCAAAGCAUAAUAAAGUGGUAUUAAUACCUCAUGUGAUAUUGAUUCUAAAUAUAAAGGUAUUAAUACCUCAUGUGAUAUUGAUUCUAAAUGUAAAGGUAAAGGUUCCCCUUGCACAUAUGUGCUAGUCAUUCCUGACUCUAGGGGGUGGUGCUCAUUGUCAAAGCGUAAAUCAGCCUCAUUCCCCCCCUGGGGAAACUGUAAUUAAUUAGAGGUGAAUGGAUCUUGUUUUCCAUGCUGUAUACUUCAAAGAAAGAAAACCCAAAAUAUAUUCUAAGAAACAUUUUAUUAUAAAAACAAACAAAACUAGAUAACUACAUCUUUACCAGACAAAAGGAAGACGUAAAUCAGGAAGUUAGAAAAGAAAGAAUGUAGACAUGCGCAGUAGCUCAGAAAUCACAAGACAGUCUUAUCUCAGUUGCUACAGAUAAGUUCUCUGGCAAGCUACCGUAAAUCUUAGGAUGGAAGCUCAGCUGGCAAACACUUAACGCAGUGACACUCAUCUCCGUUUCAAAGCCGAAGAGCCAGCACUGUCUGAAGACGUCUCUGCGCUCAUGUGGCCGGCAUGACUAAAUGCCAAAGGCGCACAGAACACUGUUAUCUUUCUACCAAAGGUGGUCCCUAUUUUUCUACUUGCAUUUUUUAUGUGCUUUCAAACUGCUAGAUUGGCAGAAGCUGGGACAAGUAACGGGAGUUCACCCCGUUACGUGGCAUUAGGGACUUGAACUGCUGAACUGCCAACCUUUUGAUCAACAAGCUCAGUGUCUUAGCCACUGAGCCACUGCAUCCAUUUUGAUCUUGAUUCUAUCCCUCUAUUGACUGCAAUGGUUUUUUUUUUUGUUGUUGUUGUUGUUUUUUGGCAAUUCAGAGGUGGGGUUUUUUUUGGCAAUUACAGUUAUUCUUGAGACAGAAAUCCUAAACAAGCAAAGUUCCUGCACAAUCAAGAUUCCCGAUUCUAGAGAGGGCUGGAAAUGAGCCCCAUAGCAAUUCCUCUUCAUCUUUUCUUAGUUCAGGUCUGAAUAGGGGCCUGCAAGAUAUGGUCAAAAAGUCUAUAUGAUGGUUCAGUCAAAGUUUCCUCCUUUUUAUGUGCUUCCUAGAGUUUACAAAAGGUCCACAAUAGAAGUGGCUGGGCCAUGUCAAUAUGAGUAUCCCUAUCUUGCCUUCACUUUUCUACUAUGUGACCAAAACAUACAGAGCCUUUUUCUUCAAUACUAUUGUUCUGACCGAAGUCAAGCUGGCAAGGCAGAGGUUAAAGAGGGUAUGUUUAUUGCUCACUUAUCACAGUGACAAAUGACCCACCAAUGGUACCGGUGAAGCUCUGCCCCAGGCCUCAGUUUUCUCUUGAUCUGGAUUCACCAACUAAAUACCAGCUGACCCACAAGGCAAGAGGAAAGUAACAAUACCCACAAGUCCAGAGUUCCAUCAACCAAAGUACAGUCCAAGAAUGUGAACUCUGAGAGCCAAGUCCAAACUCCACAAGAGUCUAAAGUUCAGAGUCCAAAAACACCAUCCAAAGUUCAAGAAACAGGAUUCAGGAAAGCCAGGAAGAUGCACAUCAAAACAAGCAGGUGUUCCCAACAAACACAUCUUCCCCCAGCGUCUAGUUAAAUCUCCCUUCCCCAGUUGUCCCUUGGGAGACGAGUAGGGCUGCUUUCUUGCAAGCAACCUCACCGACCUCCUGUGUGCCUCUCUCUGCUCUGCUCUCCUUGUCCAUGGAUUGGGGGGGGGGGAGGGAGCUGUUCUUGUCAGAGGUGGUCUGGAGCAGGGGUAAAAUUCAGAAGGUUCUGACAGGUUCUGGAGAACCAGUAGCAGAAAUUUUGAGUAGUUCGGAGAACCGGCAAAUACCACCUCUGGCUGGCCCCAGAGUGGGGUGGGAAUGGAGAUUUUGCAAUAUCCUUCCCCUGGAGUGGGGUGGAAAUGGAGAUUUUGCAAUAUCCUUCCCCUGCCAUGCCCACCAAGCCACACCUACCAAGCCACACCACGCCCACCAAGCCACACCCACAGAACUGGUAGUACAAAAAUUUGAAUUUCACCAUUGGUGUGGAGCCUAUCAUCUCUGCUGGCACUCUUCAGCUGCUCCACUCCUGCAGGCAGCUCUCCAUCUGGUCAGUCCCCUCCCCCCACUGCCAGAUAGCCCUGGGACUCAUCCUCAGACCUGGACUCCCCACUUCAAAAAGGAUCAUGUCCUCCCCAUUGGAUGGUCCUGGUUCCAACUCCUCCUCCUCUGAACCAGGAUCUGACAAAGCCAUGACCUUCAUGCACUUUCUACAGACAUAGAUGAUAUUUUAUUUCCAGAACAACAAACGAGUAUCGAAAUGUCAAAGAAACUGGCAGUAGGCAGUGCCCUUCAGUUUGGAUAUAUUUGUCAGCCAUGCUAUGGUUUCAAAUAUUUAAAUCUUUGUAGGUUGAAUGCAUGAAGGAUAUGGUAGGAUUGCUAGUACAGUACUGUUCUGAUUUAUCUUCCAGAUUUGUGUUUUUUGUUUUAAUGUUUUAUUAUUGCUUUUAAGUUCAAUUAAAAUUAUAGCUUUUAAGUGCAAUUAAAACCUUCAAAGUAUUUUACAGGAAGCUGUAUGUCAUAAAUAAAUUAACUAUAAUGUCUAGAUGCUGAUGCUUUGUGGACAACGAUUGCAUUCGAAAUCCUUUGGUGCAGAUUCUAAAACCUUCCAAAAUUGCUAUGAAAUUGCCCCUGAAAGAGAAGAGAAAACUGUGGAAUACAUUUUCAUCUACAUUUUCUCAGAGCUAAUUCAAUCAAGAAACAACGACGCAAACAAAGGCACAAUCUUGCCUUCAGUUCGACUUGUUCGACUUGUUCCUUGAUAUGUUCAUUUUCCAUUUGCAGGAAAUGCAGGGACAGAAAGCAUUAAGAAAUUGGAAAAUGGUCUUGGCUUUGGGACUCUUCAAUGUUUUAUAUCGAUCACUUGGACAAUGACACGGAGGGAAUGCUUAUAAAAUGUAAACCACUCUAAACUCGAUUGUAAAAUAAUCAAUUUUUGUAACAAAAUUGUCGAAGUCUGGAAUAUGUUACCCAAUUCAGUUGUAUCAACCAUUAAGUCUCACCCUUUUAAUUCUAACUUAACUUCUGUGAACCUCACUCCAUAUUGAAGAGGUCCCUAAGGAGUCAUGCAUAAGUGCUCUAAUGUGCCUAUUGUCCCUAUUACAUUUUAAUUUUUUUUAUUUUGCUUAUUGGAAUUUGUAAUUUCAACAAUAAUAAUCCCCCCCCCCCCAGAUAUAUAGUCUUGGGAGUUACUGCUGAUACCAGCAGAAAGAAACAAAAUCCAAAAUGAAAAGGAACUGGGAAAAAAAUGCAGAUUUCUUCAUUGAGGAAAUGAAAAAAAAAAGCUUGAUGAUGAUUCAGCAAUAUUGGAGAAAGAGAGAGAGAGAGGGAGAGGGAGGGAGGAAGAGAGAGGGGGGGAGAGAAUGAAUAUAUAUAUGAUGGGGGACAUAACUGUAUUUUUCAAGUUCCUUAAUGGAUAUCAUAGAAAAGGAUGCCAAAAGCUGAUCUUUAAUAUUGCAGACUGCAAGACAUGGAAUAAUAAUUUAAUAUUUAGAAAUGCAUCCUGAGAGUAAGACCAGUUUAUUAGUACUCAGGAGCCUUGGGAGGUGUUGGGUUUUUGAUUGCUAGAAAGGUUCAAAUGAAGCUGGACUACUACCUAUCAAAGAUACCUUCCAACUUCUUAUUUCUCUUUUACCAUUUCUAAACUCUUGCCUUGUUUCCUAGUUACCUAAUUCCAGCUGAUCAUAAUUAUGCACACACCCUGGUUUUCCUUAUGAAAUUAAAAGAGUUCUAAACACCUACAUAUGAACAUGAGCAACUGAACCGGAUGGGGACAAUCCUUCAGUUUCUGUUUGUCUCUAGAUUCAUGCACUGUAGAGUGAAUUGAGACCAAUAAACAUGUAUAUCUCAU